ACUAAUGCCGAGGGGAGUGGCCCUACAAAGUAGGCUGAGACGACGAGGAUGGUGUACUAGGGUGCGUGAGCCCCUAGUACAGAUAGACGGCUUGUAAGGCAGGCCUAUAUAUAGCUGGCACCAACAGCCCUUUUCAGGGCUUAACACCUUUCCUAUUGUCACAGGUUACUGUACAUUUAGGUUCUCAUUGACCGCCGUACAGUGACCUACUUUUGGCUCAAAAUUCAUAUCUUUGGCUAAUACUCCGUGGAAAUUGCAUGGAGGUAAAUUAUCACCAUUUUGUGCUUCAAAAUUAACUCUUUAAGGACAUGACUGACAUGUCCGGGGUCCGUACUCGACAGCGCAAGCUGCAUUUUGUGCCCUCGCGGGCGGAUGGACCCUCAUUAAGCUUAAACUACUGACUGACUGACAAGUUCUUGUCAUUGUAACUAAAAUGGAUCACCUCUAAAUCAAAGAACAACAAUGGCAUCUCAUACACAACAGGUUAAUUGCCUGUUCAGGGACAUGUAGAACUCAAGAUGAGUUAGAAAAGAAAACCAACAAUCUCGUACAAAAACAUCGGAAUUUGUAUUCUGAUUUUAAAAGAAAUUUAAGUCAGACAGGCGGCAGACAAAGAACACCUGCCCUUUCCUUCCUUACAGAGGCUGUUAUGGCCGUUGUAGGGAAGUGUCUGUGUGGCUGGGGUAUGUUUGGCAGAGCAUACAGAUUCCACCAUGAUGGCCAUAGUUGACAACAGGUGAUUUAUAUUUUGAUGUUCAAUUUCUUCCUAUUUUUUUAAAAUGAGUAUGCAUACCAAAUAUUUCAAUAUUCAAAUCAUAUAAUUAUAAACAAUUAUACUAAUUUAAUGUACAUGUAGGCUCAUGGAAGCAGUGACAUUAUGAUCAUAAAAUUUAUAAGGGUUAUCACAGGAGUACCUUGAUCAGAAACUUGUAUUUGACUCAAGUUAAAUUUACUAGGUAAAGAUCUUAUGAGGC